rnacentral:rRNA from 1 species
GCUUGUCUCAAAGAUUAAGCCAUGCAUGUCUCAGCAUAAGCCUUUUCACGGUGAAACUGCAAAUGGCUCAUUAAAGCAGUUACAAUUUAUUUGAUGGUGACUGUUACAUGGAUAACUGUGGUAAUUCUAAAGCUAAUACAUGCGUCAAGUCCCAACUUGAUGGAAGGGCUUUGCUUAUUAGAUACAAAACCAAUUUAGGCUUGCCUGAUUGAUUGGUGAUUCAUGAUAACUUUGGGCUGAUCGUAUGGCCUUGUGCCGACGACGUUUCCUUCGAAGGUGUGCCCUAUCAACUGUCGACUGUGAUAUAGACGCUCACAGUGGUUUUGACGGGUAACGGGGAAUCAGGGUUCGAUUCCGGAGAGGGAGCCUUAAAAACGGCUACCACAUCCAAGGAAGGCAGCAGG